GUGGAUUAGAUACCCUGGUAGUCCACGCCCUAAACGAUGUCUACUAGUUGUCGGGUCUUAAUUGACUUGGUAACGCAGCUAACGCGUGAAGUAGACCGCCUGGGGAGUACGGUCGCAAGAUUAAAACUCAAAGGAAUUGACGGGGACCCGCACAAGCGGUGGAUGAUGUGGAUUAAUUCGAUGCAACGCGAAAAACCUUACCUACCCUUGACAUGGUCGGAAUCCUGGAGAGAUCUGGGAGUGCUCGAAAGAGAACCGAUACACAGGUGCUGCAUGGCCGUCGACAGCU
rnacentral:rRNA from 1 species